GAUGAACGCUGGCGGCGUGCCUAAUACAUGCAAGUCGAGCGAACAGACGAGGAGCUUGCUCCUUUGACGUUAGCGGCGGACGGGUGAGUAACACGUGGGUAACCUACCUAUAAGACUGGGAUAACUUCGGGAAACCGGAGCUAAUACCGGAUAAUAUUUCGAACUGCAUGGUUCGAUAGUGAAAGAUGGCUUUGCUAUCACUUAUAGAUGGACCUGCGCCGUAUUAGCUAGUUGGUAAGGUAACGGCUUACCAAGGCAACGAUACGUAGCCGACCUGAGAGGGUGAUCGGCCACACUGGAACUGAGACACGGUCCAGACUCUACGGAGGCAGCAGUAGGGAAUCUUCCGCAAUGGGCGAAAGCCUGACGGAGCAACGACCGCGUGAGUGGAUGAAGGUCUUCGG
rnacentral:rRNA from 1 species